rnacentral:tRNA from 1 species
UGUGGCUCAGUGGGCAGAGCGCUUGCCUAGCAUGCAUGAGGCACUGAGUUCGAUCCCCAGCA